rnacentral:misc_RNA from 1 species
UACGUGAGCCCCGAGCGUUACCCGGAAUCACUGGGCGUAAAGGGUGUGUAGGCGGUUAUGUUAGUCCUUUGUUAAAGCACCCGGCUCAACCGGGGACAGGCAAGGGAAACGGCAUAACUAGAGGAUGCGAGAGGUCUAGGGAACUCAUGGUGUAGGGGUGAAAUCCGUUGAUAUCAUGGGGAACACCAAAAGCGAAGGCACUAGACUGGCGCACUCCUGACGCUGAGACACGAAAGCGUGGGUAGCGAACGGG